CAGGACGAACGCUGGCGGCGUGCCUAACACAUGCAAGUCGAACGAAGCUCCGGAUCGGAACCUCGGGUGAAGAGAAGGAAGACUUAGUGGCGGACGGGUGAGUAACGCGUGAGCAACCUGCCUUCAGAGGGGGAUAACAGUUGGAAACGACUGCUAAUACCGCAUUACAUAUUGAUGUCGCAUGGCAUAGAUAUCAAAGCUGAGGCGCUGAGAGAUGGGCUCGCGUCCGAUUAGAUAGUUGGUGGGGUAACGGCCUACCAAGUCGACGAUCGGUAGCCGGACUGAGAGGUUGAACGGCCACAUUGGGACUGAGACACGGCCCAGACUCCUACGGGAGGCAGCAGUGGGGGAUAUUGCACAAUGGGCGAAAGCCUGAAUGCAGCAACGCCGCGUGAGGGAAGACGGUUUUCGGAUUGUAAACCUCUGUCUUUGGUGAAGAAGGAAGUGACGGUAGCCAAGGAGGAAGCCACGGCUAACUACGUGCCAGCCGCUGC
rnacentral:rRNA from 1 species